GAUGAAGAACGCAGCGAAAUGCGAUACGUAAUGUGAAUUGCAGAAUUCAGUGAAUCAUCGAGUCUUUGAACGCACAUUGCGCCCCCUGGUACUCCGGGGGGCAUGCCUGUCCGAGCGUCAUUGCUGCCCUCAAGCACGGCUUGUGUGUUGGGCCUCCGUCCUCCUCCCGGGGGACGGGCCCGAAAGGCAGCGGCGGCACCGCGUCCGGUCCUCGAGCGUAUGGGGCUUCGUCACCCGCUCUUGUAGGCCCGGCCGGCGCUUGCCGACACAUCAAUCUUUUUUCCAGGUUGACCUCGGAUCAGGUAGGGAUACCCGCUGAACUUAAGCAUAUCAAUAAGCGGAGGA
rnacentral:misc_RNA from 1 species